rnacentral:lncRNA from 1 species
GUUUUAGACACUGUCAAAAGUCUCAGUAGAUACUAUAUUAUACAUUUUGAAAACACCAACCACUUUAGAACACCUUUUUUUUACACUUGCUGGCAAAAUUUGCUAUUACUUCAAGGUAGCAAAUAUUACUGUAUUUUUAAGGUGCAACUGUUGUUCAGAUUUCUGCAGUCUGUAGGAUAAAUACUAGAAAACCAUCUUGGAUCUGAGAAAGAUCAAAGCUUUGACUUAUAUCUUCCUUUGUUUUUCAGUGUUAGAAAACAGGUAGUUAAAAAACAACUAUAUUCAUUAAAAAUCUAAAGUGGAAAGCAAUACAGAGAUUGUAUUGUGAAAGCAUAAGUAAUGGUAAGUGCUUUUCUUCUCCUUCUCCUUCUCUUUCUUUUUUUUUUUUUCUUUUUCUUUUUUUGGCUUAUGUUCUUUAUUUUUCCAUCACGUUGUUCCUUGGCACACUCUGGCAUUAUAAUGGAUCUCACAGUUCUCACUGUUGUUAUCACCUAAGGAACUGGAAGCUGGGCUGGUUGAAGAUUGAUGCUGUCCUGAUAAUGAGUGAAUGACAACAGGACAAUCUGCCUGGGACUCCAACAGUGAACACAGAAAAGGAGUGCUGCAACGUAUGUCAACAGAAGAGCAAGGCCCAGCAGGGAUACCUUCUGCAUGUUGGAGAAGGACCCCAGGGAAAGGGCCUGAUGCACUGCUCACACUUCCCUUAGGUGUGGCUGAUGUUCCUCACUUUUCCCUGAGGUAAGAACAAAAAAGAAAAGAGAAGAAGAAAUGAACUCUAAUAACUUUCAGAACCUGCUGGGAUUGGAACAGUCUGUGAAAUAAACCUUUUAUCCAGUUAUUCUAGGAUUUUCA